GAACUACCGCCCUACAGUGAAGAUUUAAUGACAAAAUCCAAGUAUGAUUCAUAUACUUUAAGCAUUUGUUGCUUUAACUAGAGACUGUUUUGAAAGCAAUUUUAUUUUGACCUUGGACAAAUCAUUUGGAAAAAGGGAGAUUCCAGCAAACUUGUAAAAAUCUACUCAGCCAUGCAACUUGUGGUAUGCGGGCAUUUGGUACCUGGCACAAAACAACAGGCUGCUGCUUUCAGUACAAAGGUGAGGAUUUCCCAAGUCCUCAUCGCUUCCUCCCUAUGCUGCACACGACUCAAGAUGAAACAGGUUUGGUGUGCUCAGCCACGGGCUUUCUUGGGCCUAUAAGCAGCGACGCCGGCUUUCUCACAGGUGACUUGGCCAGGUGCACCAGACACAGACCCCUGGACUUGAAAACUGAAACCAAAGGCAGCAAAGAGCAUGGUGAUAUUUGCAAGAAGACAAAAGAAUUCACCAAGGAAAUCCUUGUUAAGACAGAGUGAGGAUUCCCAGGGUUUAUCUGCUUGGAUAACUACAGUUUGUAUUUGCUUCUGUAAAAAUACUGGUUUAUCAAGUCCAUAUAUUGAUGGCAAUCUCCAGUCUAUCCAUCACAAGAACUUUCUGUUUGCAUACUGCCCAAUAGCCAGACCCCCACAUGGAAUACCAUCAAGAUAAAAGCUUACUUGGAAAAGAUAUGACCUUCUCUGAGGUUUUAAAACAUCAUGCAGAUGGCUUUAAACUGAAAGGUACCUUAACUCAAAGCAUGUUAUCUUUGAGAUUUGUUAAUUAAACCCUUCAGCAAGAUUCAUAGAGGGUCUGCUGCAUGCUCCGGAUACAGAGGUGACUGAAAGUGAGCCCAGUCUUCACAUGACUUAUAACUGGAUGAGGAGACUGCCAUAAAUGAGUAUCAUCCUGAGACAUAAAGUCAGAGGCCUCAGCAAAUGCUGGGGAGCACAGAAGGGCAAGUGGUUAUUUCGUCCUAGAACUGGAGUAGUGGAGCAGAGGUGGAGUGAAUAGACAAUUGUGGGAGGCUGUAGAGGAGGUGGUCUUUGAGAUGAGCCCUGGAGAAUAGAGAGGAGUGAAGCAUGCCAAAUAGACAGAGAAGCAGGAACAACAUUUUGGAAGCUCGAAAAUUCAUCAUUUGUGCAGGAAUGUUGUUCAUGGUGUUGAGACCCAUCUCGCUUUCCUGCCUCUGCUACCAACUUGCCGUGUGAUUCUAGCCAUCUCAUUUUGCCUCUCUGAUUUGCACUGUCAUGUGUAGUUCAUGUGUACUGUAGAGGCAGUAGGAAGUAGGUCAAGGAGACAGACUGACUUUUAUCUCCAUGUAAGGAAAGAAAGGAUACAGAAUUGCAUGUUCAGAUGGUCCCACUUGGGUUUAUCACAACCUCUAGGCAUCUUGUCAUGAGAACAUACACAUUUGGCAAUGGAAAGUUUCUAAAGCUAAUAAUGACUGUCAUUCA
rnacentral:lncRNA from 1 species